rnacentral:rRNA from 1 species
AUUGAACGCUGGCGGCAGGCCUAACACAUGCAAGUCGAGCGGAUGAAGGGAGCUUGCUCCUGGAUUCAGCGGCGGACGGGUGAGUAAUGCCUAGGAAUCUGCCUCGUAGUGGGGGAUAACGUCCGGAAACGGGCGCUAAUACCGCCUACGUCCUGAGGGAGAAAGUGGGGGAUCUUCGGACCUCACGCUAUCAGAUGAGCCUAGGUCGGAUUAGCUAGUUGGUGGGGUAAAGGCCUACCAAGGCGACGAUCCGUAACUGGUCUGAUAGGAUGAUCAGUCACACGAGAGCGUAGACACGGUCCAGACUCCUGCGGGAGGCAGCAGUGGGGAAUAUUGGACAAUGGGCGAAAGCCUGAUCCAGCCAUGCCGCGUGUGUGAAGAAGGUCUUCGGAUUGUAAAGCACUUUAAGUUGGGAGGAAGGGCAGUAAGUUAAUACCUUGCUGUUUUGACGGUACCAACAGAAUAAGCACCGGCUAACUUCGUG